CCCUUUGCAUGCGGUCGCCGCACACUCUAUAUUUGGAUCCGCCGGUUCGCCGGCUAUGACGCUAAACCCUGCCUGGAAUAAGCGUCGUGGACCCGGGGGCAGUACCCGGCGCCUCCACCACUUCGGGCUCCGCCGUCGUCUGGAUCAACGGCGCGCGGGGUCUCACGGGGGCGAACCAGGUUCGACACGCGUGGUAAAGAGACAGGUUGCGUUCGGCAUGGCACCACCGUCAUCGGGCCAUAUGCAAUAGUUGCCAACGACAACUAUGCUCCGGAAGCCGUCGCUGCGUAAUGCGGUGCUGGUGACCGACUCUAAAGUCCCGGGUUCUUAGCAGACUCGGGCGGGGUUCGGGGGGCACCCGCCAACAGAAGCCCCCCAUC
rnacentral:tmRNA from 1 species